CCAAAGUCCUUAGCUCAGUGGUAGAACAUCUGCCUCACAUGCAGGAGGUCCCAUGGUCAAUCUCCAGCAUCUCUGGU